AAUUCUCACUAUCCUCCUGCUCAGGAGAACACAGGUACUGAAUUCUCACUAUCCUCCUGCUCAGGAGAACACAGGUACUGAAUUCUCACUAUCCUCCUGCUCAGGAGAAAACACAAGUAGGCCUGCAGUACAGUAUGUUGGCAUGUUGAGGGCUUUCUACCUAAAUCAUACACACGUACCAGUGUUUACGUGGAGUCCAAUCUGACCCCACCAUUCCUAUCUAGGCGAUUCCACACCAGGGGAGUGGAAAAUAGUUAUCUCAGAAUGUUCUAGAAAUUCUCACAUAGGAGGAACUUCAUUGGGAGGAAGGAUGUUUAUCAAAAGAAGACCAUCGCUCUCUCCCAGAAGUGUGGAUGGUGCGUAAAAACCCAUUCGUUCAGAUAAAAGGUUUUGAUGUAAACUUAAAGCUUCCUUUUUAAUGUUUCACUUGUUUUCAUUUCGCUGCAUUCAGACGUUUUGGCUUUACAGCCUUCUUCAGUGUCUAGGUACAAAGCUUUUUUUUCCAUUCGAAACAACAUUUGUAGAGAACACAGGUGAGCAACCCAAUCAGGGAUUCUACUCAUCUGCCAGUUAGGGAUGUCGUUUCUCUGGUCUUCCUGUAGACAAGUUGUUUUAAAUGCUUUUUACAUUUGUAUCACAAACCAUUUUUAUUUAUUAUCAUGGUGAAAGUGGAAACUUAGGCCCCUUUUAGAUUUGUACAUGCCCUCCUGUAAGUUUGGGACGCCGUUUGGGUCUUUGCGUGUGUGGAAAAAAAAGCGACACCUUUCAAAUAACACUAUUUGACAUGUUAAAUAAAGCUUUUCAUUUGACACAUUAAAUGACAACAGUUCUAUUCUAGAAUGUUGUGUUGUGCUGAAUUUGCCCGUGCAAGCCAAGCGCCACCACUACUAUCAGUAUCACUGUCAAAGCUGUACAAAACCAAGUCUGCAAACAAGCAAACACCGGCCACGAACUGUGUGUUUACAAUACCGCCUUGGUAAUAAGGCAUUAUUUGUUUGACCUCUACCUCUGGGGUAGUUAGCUUUAGCUUGGUACCUAGCUAGCACCAAUACAACCAGCCUGAAAACAAUGACCAGUAGAAACUGCAGUCAUUUUCAUUAUUCUUAGCAAUGAUUUAGGAAUCCUUGUAACUUUUAGCUAAGUAGCCACUUGUUGUUCACCUAUUGAAAUUUAACUUCAGUUCAUGAAAAUAAAUAGCUAGCCAGCUACUUUAUAACCCUGUUGUGUUGUGAAGCUAGCCACAAUAAGGAUUGGGCACAAUAGUGGAAUUUGCUGUUUGCCUUCAAAAUAAAAGUACCCCUUUUUUUUAUUUUUCCUUUAUUUAACUAGGCAAGUCAGUUAAGAACAAAUUCUUAUUUUCAAUGACGGCCUAGGAACAGUGGGUUAACUGCCUGUUCAGGGGCAGAACGACAGAUUUGUACCUUGUCAGCUCAGGGGUUUGAACUUGCAACCUUCCGGUUACUAGUCCAACGCUCUAACCACUAGACUACCCUGCCGAUAUAGAAGGUUAUAAUUUGUGGAAUCGUGACAUAUUUACACUAGAUAGUGUUAAACAAGGUUGGAAUGUGAAGCAAUGAAAUGGGGUAUGAGUCUAGUCGGUGACACCCACAGAACACAACUGUGAAGAGUUUAAGCAAAUAUUAGCGUUGUAGCUCUUAUCGCGGGACUGCGACUGUGUGAAAUCACCUCCCCAGUCAGCCUAUUGUGUGUUUUGACAUUCAUAUUGCACUGUACAGCUUUACCUAAGGAUUGAGGAUCAAUGAAAUGGGAUAUCAGUCUACUCAAUACCAAAUAUGUUUUUUCCCGAUGUCGUCCUCAGAGUUAUCAGACUCCAAAACAUCCACACAGUAUUGUUUUUCCUCAGGAAUAGUGUUCGGUACACGUAGGUUGACAAUAAAUGUGGCUCAAUUCACAGUUGUUUCAGAGUCCCGUAAUAAGAGCUACGAUGCCAAUGUUUCUCUGGGUGUCACUGAGUAGACUGAGACCACAUGUCAUUGAUCCACAAUCCAUAGGUAAAGGCUGUACAGUGAAAUAAGUAAAUUCCCAAUUCAAUUCUAAAGUAUAAUACAUACAGUGUGAUUUCAACAGAUUUGUGUCAAAUUAACAGUCUUUUCUUUUAGCAUGAUCUAUUAAAUGAUUGCAUCACUGUCAAUGACAUACUUUUAUUUUGAAGGCCACUAUUGUGGCUAAUCCUUAUUGUGGCUAGCCUCACAUAGAUGGGUCCGACCACCAUUACUCAACGAAGAACUGUCUUAUAAAUUAGGUUUAUUUUAGAUGAUGACACCUAGCUAUAUACCUUAUGAUCUGUGAACCGUACAUGAUACAGACAACAUCUUGAACUCAUUAUCCUCCUUACAGCGAGCUCUAACAUAAUGGGGUAUGUCUAGAUUCUGAAAUACAAUGUUUUACAUUCAUUUAACCAACAUUAAACAUAUGAAUAUAAAUAUCUCAACUACCCCCAUUUUUAAACACCAUAUUGUUUUAAGCAAUUUACUCUACAAUUAAAUACAAUUUCCAGAAAUGUCUGAUACAUUUAAUGUGCCCCACCAACACAGAUUCAAAAGGAACUCCCUCUGCUGGUGAUUUGCUGAAUGUGCAAUCCUAAAGGAGGUCUGUGAUUGGUUAAUGACAUAUAAUGUAAAAAAUUUUUAAUGUUAUAUCGUCAAAAAGUACCAGAGAGCCCACUCUGUGGAAAUGUGACGUUUUGUUGAAACUGUCAAAAAAUAUAUAUAUAUAUAUUUUUAAAAAUGCUAAAUUAAAAAAAAGCUCAAUUUAAAAAAGUGUUAUUUUGAGAUAUAGAUAUGUUUAAUGUUGAAUAAUAAGUUAGAGCUAUAAGGAGUAUUAUGACUCCACGAUGUAUCACAGAUCAUAAGGUCUUACAGAAUUAGCAUACGCACACCGAGUGUACAAAACAUUAGGAACACCUGCUCUUUCUGCGACAGACCGACCGACCAGGUGAAAGCGAUGAUCCCUUAUUGAUGUCACUUGUUAAAUCCACUUCAAUCAGAUGUAGAUGAAGGGGAGGAGACCUGGUUAAAGAAGGAUUUUAAAGCCUUGAGACAAUUUGAGACAUGGAUUGUGUAUGUGAGCCAUUCAGAGGGUGAAUAGACAAGACAAAAUAUUUAAGUGCCUUUAAACCGGUUAUGGUAGUAGGUGCCAGGCGCACCGGUUUGUGUGUGUCAAGAACUGCAACGCUUCUGAGUUUUUCACAGUCAACAGUUUCCCGUGUGUAUCAAGAAUGGUCCACCACCCAAAGGACAUCCAGUCAACUUGACACAACUGUGGGAAGCAUUGGAGUCAACAUGGGCCAGCGUCCCUGUGGAACGCAUUGGAGUCAACAUGGACCAGCAUCCCUGUGGAACGCUUUGUAGUCAACAUGGGCCAGCGUCCCUGUGGAACGCUUUGUAGUCAACAUGGGCCAGCGUCCCUGUGGAACGCAUUGGAGUCAACAUGGACCAGCAUCCCUGUGGAACGCAUUGUAGUCAACAUGGACCAGCAUCCCUGUGGAACGCAUUGGAGUCAACAUGGACCAGCAUCCCUGUGGAACGCAUUGUAGUCAACAUGGACCAGCAUCCCUGUGGAACGCUUUGUAGUCAACAUGGGCCAGCAUCCCUGUGGAACGCAUUGUAGUCAACAUGGACCAGCAUCCCUGUGGAACGCUUUGUAGUCAACAUGGACCAGCAUCCCUGUGGAACGCUUUGUAGUCAACAUGGGCCAGCAUCCCUGUGGAACGCUUUGUAGUCAACAUGGACCAGCAUCCCUGUGGAACGCUUUGUAGUCAACAUGGGCCAGCGUCCCUGUGGAACGCUUUGUAGUCAACAUGGGCCAGCAUCCCUGUGGAACGCUUUGUAGUCAACAUGGGCCAGCAUCCCUGUGGAACGCUUUGUAGUCAACAUGGGCCAGCAUCCCUGUGGAACGCUUUGUAGUCAACAUGGACCAGCAUCCCCGUGGAACGCAUUGUAGUCAACAUGAACCAGCAUCCCCGUGGAACGCUUUGUAGUCGACAUGGACCAGCAUCCCUGUGGAACGCAUUGUAGUCAACAUGGGCCAGCAUCCCUGUGGAACGCUUUGUAGUCGACAUGGACCAGCAUCCCUGUGGAACGCUUCCAGGUACCUUGUAGAGUCCAUGCCCCGAUGAAUUGAUGCUGUUCUGAGGGCAAAAGGGAGGUGCAACUCAAUAUUAGUAAGGUGUACUUAAUGUUUUGUGCACUCUUGUGGGUCUCAAAAGGCUUAAAAUGUGCCACUUUCAUCAUGAUUUUCUCAAAAAAUGGUUUGUGAUACAAAUGUAAAAAAAAAAACAUGUCUCAGACAUCCUUCCUCCCAAUGACGUUCCUGUGUGAGAAUUGCCAGAACAUUCUGAGAUGACAAAAAUAUUUUCUGCUGUUUGUGGAAUAACCCAUCUAUCUCUCUUUCUCUCAUGACCCUGUUCACUAAAACCCCAGAACAAAUACUGGGGAUAACAUGGAUGUUGUAGUCCCUCCCACAUAUUGAAUCACACUUAUUCAAAAAAAUAUAUAUAUAUAUAUAUAUAUAUCAGUGGUAUUAUCAGGAUGCCUCUCGGGAUCCGUUGCAUAAAUAUAGUCCGCCUGUAUUUUGACUCUAACCACGUUUCCAUCCACAGUUAUGUAAAGUCAUUACUGUAAACCAAUAAAAUAAUGAAAUAAAACCCAACAGAAGUCACAACAGUUGUGAUGGAAACGAGGCGUUUCGGUACAAUUCUAUAAAUGCCGACGGAUCGUUUGUUCGUUUGACACGGUGGGAUCUUUUUUGUGUCGGUAAAAUGUAAUAUGCUGUGGAAACGCCUUUUUAUAUGCAAAUAUUGAUAUAAUAACCAGAGUAAAACUGAGUCACGCAAUGAUAUGGUGUGUGUGUGUGUGGUCCUCCCACUAGGACUCGGGGAAACCAUGCCGUUUAUUAGGCUACAGAUUUAAACAAGUUAUAAACUUCACAGGGUGGUGAAAGUGCACUUUGAUGAGUUUAAUGCCCCCUUUACAAUAUAAAUAUUAAUUCUGGUGACAUGAUAAUCGAUGGGAAAUGUGCAUAUUUUAAUGUGGAUUUCAGAAUAUUCGCCUGAAUCUGUCGUCAAUUGGAUGGAAACCUAGCUAUUAACAUAAUUAUAAUCACGUCUUUCAUUUAUCUC